rnacentral:tRNA from 1 species
GUUUGUAUGGUGUUUAGCACGUUAGGCUUUCAUUCUAAAGGAAAGGCACAAGCCUUUGCAAGUU